rnacentral:rRNA from 1 species
UACGUAGGGGGCAAGCGUUGUCCGGAUUUAUUGGGCGUAAAGAGCGUGUAGGCGGCCAGACAGGUCCGUUGUGAAAACUCGAGGCUCAACCUCGAGAUGUCGAUGGAAACCGUCUGGCUAGAGUCCGGAAGAGGAGUGUGGAAUUCCUGGUGUAGCGGUGAAAUGCGCAGAUAUCAGGAAGAACACCUAUGGCGAAGGCAGCACUCUGGGACGGUACUGACGCUGAGACGCGAAAGCCAGGGGAGCGAACGGG